UUAAACUUUUGACUUGGCCUCAGUUGGGGUCGAAACGUCGGCAUUAUUAAUAGACUGAAGUGUGUAGGCCUGCGGUCAUUCGUCCGAAUUUUGGUUCAGUUUGUCAUGAGCAGCACCUGUUUUUACUCAACAGCCACAAGCUGAUUGCCUCCACAUGCAUCGCCCAGUUUGUCUCUGCAUGCAGCUGCUUUUAUCGGAAUCAAGCCUUUGGCUAAAGUGAACUUGAAGGAGGCUGUAAGGGAAUGAACAUGAGCUAAACCAUAGCAGUCAUUCUUCAGUGGUAGAUGCUGGAUGUAGCCACUACAUACAGAAGUUACCUGUGAUAAAGCAGCAGCCUGUGGGAAGCUGGAUGCUGUGAUAUGAAUUUUCAGUGGAGUUACCAAGCUUCUUUGAUGGAUUUGUCAAGAACUUGGGUCAUCCCUGGUCAACAUCUUUACACAGUGAUGGAGCUAAAGGCGCAGAAGGAGACCUACAGCAGACGUCAUUAAGAGCCGACGCAUUCGAUCCCCAGACAACAGAGAGAUUGAUGGUGGAAACAUUACAUCCCGACUCUCCCGAAUCCAAAUUACACUGCAGCUCUUUUGGCUCUUCUUGAACUGCCUGAUCUUGUCACAGGAUGCCAACAAACUGCUAGCAAGAAUCUUUGGCUGAACUAAACAUGCCACAAGUGACAGGAGACACAUCCUUUAAAUCCCAGCUGAUCCAGUUCUUGUGGACUUCAGCAAUCAGCUCCCGUCUACGUCAUUGUCCCUGUUUUUCUGUCCGAGCCAUUCCCCGUUUGUUUUAUCGCCAUUAGGUUUCUUUGCCACACUUCUGAAUUCUGAUUUUGUGGCAGCUAUGAUAAAGUUGUGAGGGUGUGUUACAGAAGUCCUUAUAAAUACAAUUGUGGAUGAUGGAUGAAGAAAAAGGACUUCAACCCUGGUUCUGUCAACAGGCUUCACUCAGCCAGGCUCCAGUAUCACACAGCUGUCAGACUUGAAAGAUGCCUUUAUUAUUAGAAUAAAACUGACAUCUUGGAAUAGCAGAAACAGUAGAGUGAAUAAAAAGGGAAUAAAGUAGAUGACAAAAUGCCAAUCAGCUUCUUGUGGGGCUCUGAAGACUAGCUAGCAUGGCCUGACACCCCCCUCCUUGGGGCCAAAUAACGGGUAAACCUUCUACCAGUAUACUGAGCCUCCUAUUCUUUGGCACAUUUAAUUAUGUAGUAUUGAUCAGAAUUCAAAGACAGCACAAAUUUCCUGUUAAAGAACAAUCUCUAAACUGUUUUCUUGUUUUUCUCAGCUUUUUCUUUUUAUGUGGGUGUUAACAGGAAUCAAAGCUGAGCUCUGUCUCCAGCACAGUGAUCAGUGUUUUCACGGAGACCCUUUUUGAUGGUGUAAUGAGCCCACUGUGGUAGGUUAUUAUUAGCCAGACAGCAAGCAGAGAAAAGAUGGAUUGAGAGAUGUAAAGGGGAAGGAAGUGAAAGCAAGUCAGUGGGUGGCAUGUUUGGAAGAUUUUAUUUGAACUCCAGAGUGCUUAGUUUGACUAAUGUGAACGGAUGAGCAAAACGAAAUUUUAGCAUCAUCAGACAGACUGCAUGAAAGUUGGUCCUGUUUCAACUAAGAAUCUUUUAGCACCAGUGGGGCAUGAUGUUCCCAGCCAGCAUUGAGGAGAAAUAGAGGACAGAAAAUUGAAAGAAAGGGAUGUGGAGAGAAAUGGAGGGACAGUGAGAUGUAACAACUGUCUCCAACUGUGCGGUCCCCAGCAGCUCUGUGAUAAAUAACUCUGCACAAAAACAAAUCUGAGAAUGGCUUUUUCAUUGUUCACGGGGCAGUGGAAGGCAACACUAGAGGACCACCUCUACUACCAUUAAUGCUAAAUUACUUGACAAGAAAAAUCCUGGGCAGAGGAUUGUUCAGUGUUUUUGACAAAUUCUGGCUUCAAAGUUCUACAGUCCUUUGCAAAAAUGCUGACUGUAUUUAUUGGCGUUUAGGAAUGUCAGCAUGCUAAGUUGCCAUGUGUGACUAUGAUCACUAAACAUUGCAGCAGUAUGACCUUUUGUCCAGCCAUGACUUUUAUCUGCUUAAUUCAAAAGUGGAACCAAAGUAUUUAUUAUAAAAUGCCCACUUAAAAAAAUAAAAGGGAUACAUCUUUGGGAUCUUGUUCAUGUAGGGAAUGCUGUGAUAUGACUGUGGAGAAAUAAAUGACUGUUACAAUAUAGUACUAUUUAGGAAAGGGAGCUUUUUAUAACCUGGCAACGUGUCUGUUUAAGAAUCAGACGUUAGAAUCGGGGGGUUUUGUAGAAAAGUACCUCCCAUACAAAAUACUGAAGCAGGUAAUAGAAGAUUAAAAACAGAAAGACUGAAGAAUCAAUGCAUUACAAGUAAAUAAAGAUGCAGAUUCAUGUGCACAACUAAGUCAAGAGCUACUCAGUAUGAAAGUUGCCAGAGUAAGAAGUUUGCCCUUUUUCACUGCAAGGUUGUGGUAAUUAGGGGUGUUUUUCACUGAAAAGUAGGCAGAGUUAUUAUUCCAGUUGGAGUGGUGAAAAAUCACCCAGUAGUACUUCAUAGCGUUAUACACAGUAUGAAAAGGACAGGGAGCAAGAGAGAGGCUUAUCUGAAUAAAAAGCUCUUGUGUUGUUUCCGCCUCUCCAAGUCUUGGCUGAAUCCCCAAGGUCAACACCUAAAUAAAUGUCUUUAUGUGGGAUGUUUGCCAGAUUUCAGCAGCUCUGUUAAGUGACAUGUCGCCCUUAUCCCUGCCUGCUUUACACACAGGUAGGCUAAAGGUAUUUUUCAUAGUGUUCAUUUAUUCAGUGUAAUUCUCCUUUUCCAGAUCAUUUUUAGACACAGAACACAGUGCUGUUUGUAAAUGCUGCACAUCAACAUGGGCCACAAUUAACAAUGUCAUUACAUUAUUCCUCUGUGGUAACUUGUUGCCCAUCACUCCACCAGUUUGAUUAUUUUUUAAUUUACUGCAUGAAUGAGACUCUGGUCUACGUAACUUUACACUGCCCAUGGCAAAGCUUUCAACAGUGAGCAGUUAGCUCAUUCCAACAAGAGAUGGCACUGAGAUGGCUCCAGAGGAGUAAAGAUCUUCAGUCAUUCAUGUGAUCUUUUUAUGAACACAGUAUAAACUCCCAUCUUUCCCUUCCUCUUCCUCCCCAGGAUGUGUUCUCUAGCUUAUCCUCACUCCUCUCAUGCCGCAGACAUCUUCACAUACAGAACCACCUGCACCAACACUAAGGCCAGUAGCUUUCUAAGCUUAACUGAAUCCAUUCUCUCAACAUAAACACAUACCUACAUGCUCAGCUGCGCAUGUUUGCAAACAAAUGUACACAACCUUUCUUCCUCUGGGUAGUCUCUCCUCUUAGCAUCUCCUCUGUUCUAUUCCUUUUGUAAUGGGAAUUCCUCCAGCAGCCAGACUGAGAGGCCAUCUAAUUAGGCACAGAUGGAUGACUUCAAAUACAACUAAGUGACCAGAGAUCUGCCACUGGACAAACUGUUUUAACCCUCACAAGGAAGGGGACAUCUAGUAACGCUAAUCACAGUCACAGGGAACAACUCUUUAUAGCGAGAGAGAUCACAUCUGCUCUGAAGCAGCAUUUGUAGCUUAAAUCUGGUUGUUCUAGCUGUCCAAACAGGCUAAGGGUCAGGGAGGAUGCUACUACCACAGUUAAUCAAAACAGACUUUAAAAAACAAAUGCAUGGCUUUUGGGCCAGUGUUCACAGCCAUGGUGGAGGUCCUCGGCCUCAGUAAACGGUGUGUGAGAAGCUGGUUGUAUUUCUCUAUCACUACCACAACCACGUGUUGGGCCAGUUAGUUGGGUUUAAGGGGAGGAGCCCACAGUAGCCUGUGAUCGGCUUCAUGGCUGUAUAGUCACUGUACCACUUGGUAACCUGUUAAAUGUCCCAGUAUGUUAUCUUUUUGAACAACUAGUGUUAGACUGUGUAUGGCCACGUGUGCCGCCUUAGAUGAUGAGAAACCUUCUGUGGUAGUUGGAAUAAAAUGGAGUUGGACUGAGCCAUCAGUGAUCCUGUCAGAGAAUCAGAAGCUGAUGGUCCUUUGGCCCCUAUCCACUUGUCUAAAACACAGUUUAAUACCCCCUCUCUAUCUGUAUCUAUCAGUCUUUCACUGUUCCUCGUUCUGUCUGCCGUUGCACUGCCUUACUUUGACUCCCUCUCUCAAUGUUUUAUAAUGCAUAUUUUCAUUUGAUAGUGUUGCUUUUAAUUUUGCCUCUGAAAACUUUGCUAUUUUGUAUCAUUUAUCACUGUUUCUUUGUGUGUAAAGACCUUUCCUACCACUCAAACAAAAUGCAGCCAGCGGUGUGAGGUGAAGUAAUGGGCAAACACAUGGAUUAGGAAAAGAGAAGAGAUGCUGUUAAUGGAUAAAUGUUACGUCUUUCUCCCUCACUUAGCCAAACACAAUACUAAGUGCACUCAUUAAAGGUUACACACACACACGAGCAAGCACACAAACACAAAAUGGUAAAGGCAUGGGGAUGCACCAGCACACGUGCACACAAGCACUUCUAACGUCUACUCUUAAUUUUGCGUAUGCUGGCUGUGAUCGAUGGCUGUGCAGGCAAAUGGUUAUAAAUGCAUUAGCACCAGGACCUAAUCAACCAGACACACAUGCGCAAUUGCAUGCAUAGUUGAGCAGGCACACACACACUUUGUCAUCCUUUCGUAAUCUAGUUCAGAGUGGGGCAAGAGCUUCCGAUUCAAUUUCCUGUUGAGUUUCAUUUCAUUACUAAGUCAUGAACCACCCUGUUUACUGUUCCAUGUGCCAAUAUUCCACCAUAUACGAGAUAAGAGUGGAAUAAUUUGUCAAAGAAACAAAAACAGAUUUUGCACUUAUUAAAAGUUUGUAAUUCAUCAACACAAAGUUUUAAUUCAUCAGUAUAAAUGGGAAUUGGGAGCAAAAUCGAUAAAUACACAAAUGUAAAAUGAAUCUACAGUCAUGUUAAAGCCUUUUACAGUGUUUAAGGUCAUUACAUAGAGAAGGUGGUGUUCUUGCUGCUGACCUUGUUCUAAAGUUGAUGUAUGAGCAAUUCAUGGUUUGUGUUCACUCUUAGUUCUACACAGGCAACUUGAAUCCAAUAUGAAGAAAGCUGUGGUGGACAGUGUGUUUGUUGUGCAGUGUUUUCUUCUGAAGGUUUUAGCUGUCAUGGUAGUUGACAAGUCUUCACACCCACACUUUUCUGAAAUGACUGUAAAAAUAAUAAUAAUAAUGUCAAUGUUGUAAGAAUAUUUUAAU